GGCCCUACAGGGCCAACGAUAACCGACCAGAAGUCUGACGUGAAGAAGGACGUGGCUGACAUCAAUGCUGCUUCCCAGAAGGACAAAAUCGAUUUGCGAAAAAUCAUCGAUAUUUUGACCAAACGAACCGCCAAGCAGCGAAUUGCCAUCAAAAACAGGCUUACAACACCACCUAUAAACAGUCUCUACCAGCCACCCUAUCGGGCAUCUCGGACGGUAAACUGAAGUUUUUGCUGAUGAGACUGCUUUAUUCUCCGGCCGAAUAUGCGGCGAGAACCAUCAGAUUUUCGCUAAAAUUUGACCAAGAUUGGUCCUACAUGAGUGUUCUAUGCACCACCAAUGCUGAUCAGCUGCAUAAAAUUGUCGAUACUUACAAACGAGUUUACAAUCAGGACUUAGUUGAUGAGCUUAACCAAAAAAUGAAAAUAGAUUCAGGGAAAAAAUUCUUGAGGCAAAUGAUAGAGCAAGUAACUGGUGAGGUUCAAAACGGACGUCCUGUCAAUGGCUCAGAUCCGAAUAAAUUUGAUAGUCAAAUGGGCUGUAUUCCAACUAAAGGAGGACAUUGUUCAAUUGAUAAGAACGGAGACCUGUUCAAUUUGCUGACAUUGAACAGCUUUCAGCACAUCGGUCAAUUCAUGGAGUAUUAUUACAACCACAAUGACCAGCACCAAGCUGUCUACGAUUUGAUGAGUGAAAACUGUGGCGAAGGCGAGACCAAACAGGGCUAUUUGAAAAUACUGAGAUUUGCAUUUGACCCGGUGGCGUAUUCAGCGGUAGAACUGUACGACGGUCUGACGUCACAGCGUGACAGUCGCGAUGGAAUGGAUCGCAUCAUCAUAUCGAGGAGUGAAGUCGAUUUGUUCGACGUGCAGAACUCUUUCUUUCUCAUCUACGACAAUGCCACAGUAGCGGCUACUAUUGACGAUCCUACAGGGCCAACGAUAACCGACCAGAAGAAUGACGUGGAGAAGGACGUGAAUGACAUCAAUGCUGCUUCCCAGAAGGACAAAAUCGAUUUGCGAAAAAUCAUCGAUAUUUUGACCAAACGAACCGCUACGCAGAGAAUUGCCAUCAAACAAGCCUUCAGCACCGUCUAUAAAAAGUCUCUACCAGCAACAAUAGCGGGCAUCACCAACGAUAAACUGAAGUUUUUGCUGCUGAGACUGCUCUAUUCUCCGGCCGAAUAUGCGGCGAGAACCAUCAGAUUUUCGCUAAAAUUUGACCAGGAUUGGUCCUACAUGAGUGUUCUGUGCUCCACCAAUGCUGAUCAGCUGAAAAAAAUUGUCGAUACUUACAAACGAGUUUACAAUCAGGACUUAGUUGACGAGCUCAACCAGAAAAUGAAAAUAGAUUCUGGAAAACAAUUCUUGAAGCAAAUGAUAGAGGCUCAACCCGGACGUCCUGCCAAGGGGGCAGAUCCUAGUAAAUUUGAUGGUCAAAUGGACUGUAUACCCACUAAAGGAGGCCAUUGUUCAAUUAAAAAGAACGGAGACCUGUUCAAUUUGUUGACAUUGAACAGCUUGAGCACAUCAGUCAAUUCAUGGAGUAUUAUUACAACCACAAAGACAACCAAGCUGUCUACGAUUUGAUGAGUACAAACUGUGGCGAUGGCGAGACAAAGAGGGCUAUUUGAAAAUACUGAGAUAUGCAUUUGACCCGGUGGCGUAUUCAGCGGUAGAACUGUACGACGGUCUGACGUCACAGCGUGACAGUCGCGAAGGAAUGGAUCGCAUCAUCAUAUCGAGGAGUGAAAUCGAUUUGUUCGACGUGCAGAAAUCUUUCUUUCUCAUCUACGACAAUGCCACUGUAGCGGCUACUAUUGACACCAUCUAUGGAACCCACGAUCCUGAUUACACAUACGCAUUGAAGAAUAUACUCAAUGGAAAUAAAGCUUAAAAAAUAAUAUUUUAUCUUACAUAAUGUGUUGUUUUGAAAUAAAAUAAAAUCAAUAAAUUUGACUUAUCCUGCUGGAAAUACUAGUUUCAGUUUUUAAGUGUGUUCUUAGUUUCACGUUUCUCGUUUUCCAAUACUUCUUUUAUUGUGUCUGCAUAGAGAAAUUAAUAAAAAUCUUCCUCUAAAAAUA
rnacentral:misc_RNA from 1 species